UUGAAAAAAAUAUAAAACACACACUGGAGAGUAGAAUAAGGAAGUCUUUAUAGUUUGUGGCCCAGGAAGGCCUUGGAAAUAUAUAUUUUUUGAUCCAAACUUUAAGAUCUUAUAGAGAUCCCCUAUGAAUGGAGGCUUUUCUUUUUUUGUAAAUUUAUGAAUGAAAUCGCAGUGAAAUUAUUCGUGGCUUUGGAAUAAUUAUAUGAUUGAUGAUCAAAACAAAAACAAACAGACCAAAAAUAAAAAUAAUCUAAAAUAAAGACAAGAGAGGGAGAGAAGGCGUCAGAAAACGCGAACAAAUCGCGCGGCACGCGCCCCUCACGUGACUUUGGACCAAAACAAAAGCCCAGGCCAGUAAUCGGGGUGAACAAACAACAAGAAAAACAAUAAAUAAAAUACAAAAUAAUAAAAUAAAUAAUAAAAAUAAAAGCAAUAAGUGACAGAGCCAGAGCCAGAGACAGAGCAAUCAAAGUACUUUGUGAGAUGCUUGGAACCUCAAUCAAAAUCGCGCUUUCAGCCUCACAACAAAAUUUGUAUUUCUAUUUGGCAUUUGCCGAAAAAUCGAGAGAAUCGCCAAAACUGCCUGCCGCCAAACGUGAAAAGUAAACAAAAUCUUAUCAGACAACACACCGCUCACGCCCAGCUCAUAAAGAUACACACCAAUACCACCAUAACAGACACUGAGAUACACACACACAUACAGAACACAUAGAUACAAAGCACAACAAACACAAAUGCAAAUACAGAGAGAUCAUAGGUGUGCGCCGUACAUUGGACGUCUGCGCUGGCGAAUUUCACAAUACGAAGCGAAAAGGCAAAAAAACCAACAAUAACAAGCGGC